UGCGCAGGCGGUUUUAUAAGCCAGAUGUGAAAUCCCCGGGCUUAACCUGGGAACUGCAUUUGGAACUGUAAGACUAGAGUACGGCAGAGGGGGGUAGGAAUUCCACGUGUAGCAGUGAAAUGCGUAGAUAUGUGGAGGAAUACCGAUGGCGAAGGCAGCCCCCUGGGUCGAUACUGACGCUCAUGCACGAAAGCGUGGGGAGCAAACA
rnacentral:rRNA from 1 species